UACGGACGGGGCAAGCGUUGUUCGGAAUCACUGGGCUUAAAGGGCGCGUAGGCGGGUGCUCAAGUCCGUGGUGAAAUCCUCCGGCUCAACCGGAGAACUGCCUCGGAUACUGGGCGUCUCGAGUGUGGUAGGGGUAUGCGGAACUAUCGGUGGAGCGGUGAAAUGCGUUGAUAUCGAUAGGAACUCCGGUGGCGAAGGCGGCAUACUGGACCACCACUGACGCUGAUGCGCGAAAGCCAGGGGAGCAAACGGG
rnacentral:rRNA from 1 species